GACGAACGCUGGCGGCGUGCUUAACACAUGCAAGUCGAACGGAAAGGCCCUGCUUUUGUGGGGUGCUCGAGUGGCGAACGGGUGAGUAACACGUGAGUAACCUGCCCUUGACUUUGGGAUAACUUCAGGAAACUGGGGCUAAUACCGGAUAGGAGCUCCUGCUGCAUGGUGGGGGUUGGAAAGUUUCGGCGGUUGGGGAUGGACUCGCGGCUUAUCAGCUUGUUGGUGGGGUAGUGGCUUACCAAGGCUUUGACGGGUAGCCGGCCUGAGAGGGUGACCGGCCACAUUGGGACUGAGAUGCGGCCCAGACUCCUACGGGAGGCAGCAGUGGGGAAUAGUGCGCAAUGGGCGGAAGCCUGAUGCAGCAACGCCGCGUGCGGGAUGACGGCCUUCGGGUUGUAAACCGCUUUCGCCUGUGACGAAGCGUGAGUGACGGUAAUGGGUAAAGAAGCACCGGCUAACUACGUG
rnacentral:rRNA from 1 species